UUAUGGCUCAGGAUGAACGCUGGCGGCGUGCCUAACGCAUGCAAGUCGAACGGAACUUCUUUGACAGAAUUCUUCGGAAGGAAGUUGAUUAAGUUUAGUGGCGGACGGGUGAGUAACGCGUGAGUAACCUGCCUUUGAGAGGGGAAUAACUUCCCGAAAGGGAUGCUAAUACCGCAUGACGCAUAUUUAUCGCAUGGUAGAUAUGCCAAAGAUUUAUCGCUCAAAGAUGGACUCGCGUCCGAUUAGCCAGUUGGCGGGGUAACGGCCCACCAAAGCGACGAUCGGUAGCCGGACUGAGAGGUUGAACGGCCACAUUGGGACUGAGACACGGCCCAGACUCCUACGGGAGGCAGCAGUGGGGGAUAUUGCGCAAUGGGGGAAACCCUGACGCAGCAACGCCGCGUGAAGGAUGAAGGUUUUCGGAUUGUAAACUUCUUUUAUUUAGGACGAACAAUGACGGUACUAAAUGAAUAAGCUCCGGCUAACUACGUGCCAGCAGCCGCGGUAAUACGUAGGGAGCAAGCGUUAUCCGGAUUUACUGGGUGUAAAGGGUGCGUAGGCGGCUUGGUAAGUCAGAUGUGAAAUGUAUGGGCUCAACCCAUGCACUGCAUUUGAAACUAUUGAGCUUGAGUGAAGUAGAGGUAGGCGGAAUUCCCUGUGUAGCGGUGAAAUGCGUAGAGAUAGGGAGGAACACCAGUGGCGAAGGCGGCCUACUGGGCUUUAACUGACGCUGGGGCACGAAAGCGUGGGUAGCAAACAGGAUUAGAUACCCUGGUAGUCCACGCUGUAAACGAUGAUUACUAGGUGUGGGGGGUCUGACCCCUUCCAAAAGGGAGUUAACACAAUAAGUAAUCCACCUGGGGA
rnacentral:rRNA from 1 species